rnacentral:tRNA from 1 species
GUCGGGAUAGCUCAGCUGGUAGAGCAGGAG